rnacentral:pre_miRNA from 12 species
ACAGUUUGGCACAGUUUGGGUGCUCAGGCCGGGGUUCUGUCCUACACUGGGCUGUGGCUCUGGGCAGUCAGUGCAUCACAGAACUUGGUCCUGGGCACCCCCGGCACCGCGGGACCCGC